rnacentral:tRNA from 1 species
GCACCCGUAGCUCAGCUGGAUAGAGCACUGCCCUCCGAAGGCAGGGGUCAGGGGUUCGAAUCCCUUCCGGGUGCGCCA